rnacentral:ncRNA from 1 species
AAUAAAUAAUUAUUUUGUUUUUUUAUUUAACUUAAUUUAAAGUUUUAUUCUAGCUUAAAGGUUUGUUUAAUAUUUCUUUAUUAUGUAAGUUUAAGCGUUAUUUGGUUUUAAAUAAUUUAAUUUGCAGUUACUAAUUUUAAAUAUUUAAUAUAUUAAGAUUUAGGAAUAUAUUUUUGCUUUAACUAAAUUUGUGCCAGCAGUUGCGGUUAUACAAAUAAAGUUAAUAAAUUUUUUCGGUUUAUAGUUAAUUUGUUAAUAAAAUUUAAAUUUGGAAUUUAUUGAGUGGAAUCUGGAUUUUAAUGAUAAAUUUGUUUUUUUAUAUGAGGCUAUUAAAUUUUAUUUUAAACUAGGAUUAGAUACCCUAUUAUUUUUAAUGUAAAUUUUAACUCCUGGUUAUUAUUAGUUAUUUUCUUGAAAACAAAAGAUUUUGGCGGUAUUUUAGUCUUUUCAGAGGAACCUGUUUUGUAAUUGAUAUUCCACAUUAAAUUCUACUUGCUUUUUGUUUGUAUAUCGUUGUCAAGAUUAUUUUAUUAGAAUUUUAAUGGUCGUUAUUUUUAAUUAAAGAAUAGAUCAAAUCAAGAUGCAGCUAUAAGCAAGUAAAAAUGGGUUACAAUAAAUUUAUUUAUAUGGAUUAGUUCGUGAAAUGAAUUAUAAAAGUGGAUUUGAAUGUAAUGUUAUUUUAUUUUUUAAUAUGAUUUAGCUCUAAAAUAUGCACAUAUCGCCCGUCGCUUUCAUAAAAUUGAAAUAAGUCGUAACAAAGUAGGCGUACUGGAAAGUGUGCCUAGAAAGU